ensembl:lincRNA
NNNNNNNNNNNNNNNNNNNNNNNNNNNNNNNNNNNNNNNNNNGAGACGGCGCUGGUGGACGUCAACGUGUACCUGAUCGUCGCCAUCUGCGCGGUGUCCAGCCUGCUGGUGCUCACGCUGCUGCUGUACACGGCGCUGCGGUGCUCGGCUCCGCCCAGGGAGGGCGCGUGCGGGCCUGGGAAGCCCACACUCGUGUGCUCCAGCGCGGUGGGGAGCUGGUCGUACUCGCAGCAGAGGCGGCAGAGGGUGUGCUCUGGGGAGGGCGCUCCCAAGACCGACCUCAUGGCCUUCAGUCCCAGCCUUCCACCUGGUCCCAUUGGCGGGGAUAGAGAAGAGCAGCUGAAUGUGGACGGUGAUAUUUCUGCUAAGCCUCGACAGCCCAACCCUGACUGGCGUUACUCUGCCUCCCUCCGAGCAGGAAUGCACAGCUCUGUGCACCUGGAGGAGGCUGGCAUUCUGCGGGCUGGUCCAGGAGGGCCUGAUCAGCAGUGGCCAACAGUAUCCAGUGCAACACCAGAACCAGAGGCAGGAGAGGUGUCCCCUCCAGUUGGGGCUGGUGUCAACAGCAACAGCUGGACCUUUAAAUACGGACCAGGCAACCCCAAACAAUCUGGUCCCGAACCUAAAAAGCAGACCCAAGUUUCCUUUCUCCUCCGCCGCAAAGGAGAGGCUUCCCAGUCCCGCCAGUGAGAGGUUGGAAACUCUCUGCCCUGUGCUCCGGGGAUGCUGUCUUGAUGACACUUGCAGGGCAGGCACAAAGGUUUUGAGAUUGAGCAGCUGGGGUUCGGGGGGCCACUGGGUUGGUGUGAUCGCCGGCGGUGCGGGAGGGGGCGCCAGACCUCGGCUGGGCGGGGCCAGGUGAGACUAGCCCGCAUGAGGAGGGCUGGUGGGAAGAAAGGCAAAAGAAUGGCAGGAGUUGCCAAUCCAGGGAGGAAGCACGAAAUGAAAAGGGACCAGACUUUCUAAACCUUGUGACUCAAGAGGCGGUGGCCACCCUCCCGCAGACAAAACUGCCCCCCACUGACCAGGCCCUAGGAGGCCUUAAGUUUGUUGCUGUGGUGUCAUGAUCCCUACAACUCACAUCACACCGACAAACCAACAGCUCAGUGUUGCACGGGGCCAACCAGGGCAGAUCUGAUGUGUUUUCGGAUAUCCUUGUGCUCACUUUCUUACCCAUUCUUUUGCACACAAUGUUUAUGAAAAGGCCUGGUCCUUUUCCAACACAUAUGCAAAAGCAAAGACAAAAGAAAACCCCAACACCUCACUUUAUGCUGUUUGUUGUUUGAUAGAUUUAUUUAAAAAAGAGAAAAAUCUAUAGCUAUAAAUCUCUAAAGAGAAAUAUGAUGACUACAGUUCCCCUCAACUCUCCUCAAAAGAGAAUCCAAUCUACAGCCAUUUAAAUGACCAUUGCUGCUACAGAAGUGCUUUAAGAGAAUUGCCUGGAACAUCUGUAUUAUACUGGCCACCUGCCAAUCACAGCUUUACUCUUUCAGGUCACUCUGGGGCUGCCUCUUGCAUGUAUUAAUUCCUGAAUAAAAAGAUCUUUCUCUCUCUUUUCUAAGAAACAAUUCUGUGCACUUUGAAUACACAACCUUCUCUAGCCAACUAUAUCAAGACCCUGAAAUUGAAGAAAAAUCAUUGUUUUCUCAAACACACAGUGAGCCGACUUUUCAAUCCUCGAAUUCUGUGCUUUGUCUUGGUGUGCUAGCCCACACCUCCUCUUUGGUUUAGUUUGCCUUUUUUAGAACAUUCUGAAUUGCUAAUCUUGCUAACACCUAUGAUGUUACCUGAAAUCAAUCUCCCAUAUGUAUGCUGUAUGCUAUUAUAAGACUCCUGAAAUAUACUUACUCUGUGCUUGUGUAUGUGAAUGUUAAUGCAACUAUUACCUAGAGUGAACUUUAAGCUUUAUUGUUGAAUGUAAUUCCAUCCUAUUUCCUUUUGUACACCUGUGAAAAAGUGGAGUAGUGUUUUUUUAAACCAUUGUUUAAUCAGCUUUUGUGUAUUAAAGACACAGUAAAAUUUCUUUCUUAAAUCAAGACACUGGUGAUUCAAGGAAUUUUAUUUAUGGUCAGCCAAGAGCUGUCUCUUGCCAAGACUCCUGCUGGCAAGAGAAUGGAUAAAGCUGUUUUUUUCUAGUAACAAUUCUGGAAUGAAUACCACAGUUAUUCCCUGAAGGUAUGCAAGCACAAAAUUUACCAAUCUGACCUCGCUGAAGUCGCAGAAUGCUUUGAAAUUCUAAUGACAUCUGGAAUAUCAGCUCAUAGAGAAGAAUAAAAUUUACUGUCACCUUAGAUAAGAAAUUUUAAUUUUGUUAAAAUGUACAAUUUAGAAGUUUAAUUAUAUUAUCUUUUCAAAGUUAUCAUAAAAGAGGUAGGAGUCUGUUAUUAAAACAAAAACAUUAAAUCUCAAAAAAAAAAGCCUGUUUUGUCUACUUUAGCUUCAUUCUCCCAUAUUUUGAAGGGUGUGUAACUUCAGCUCUGCAGGAUUGCAUGGGGUAAAACUUGUUGCCAACACAUGUGAACCAUUGCUACAUUGUAGGUUGUGAUCAUUUUGCCCCAUCGAACCCAUGUAUCUGACCUUACGUGCCUUUUGAAUACUAGGAGAAUCGGGCUAAUUUAUUAAUGAUGAUAAUUAUAAUGUAUCUGUACAGCACUUUUUACAUUUGCAAAGUGCUUUCCAGUCCAUGUUAGUUACUAGUUAUUACAGCUGUAAGGAUAAAACACGUCAUGUGGAUUCAUUUUUAAUUGGUGCUAUUGGUAUUUAUUCUGUUAUUGCUAAUAAAUGAAAAUGGUGGUAUGAAAGAAAUGGUGGUCAUUUCUAAGUAUAAGAGUAGGAGAAAAACAGAACACUGAUUAUCAUUAGCUGUUGUC